rnacentral:rRNA from 1 species
AUACGGAGGGUCCAAGCGUUAUCCGGAUUCAUUGGGUUUAAAGGGUCCGCAGGCAGGAAAAUAAGUCAGUGGUGAAAGCCUACAGCUCAACUGUAGAACUGCCAUUGAUACUGUUUUUCUUGAGUAUAGAUGAAGUGGGCGGAAUAUAUCAUGUAGCGGUGAAAUGCAUAGAUAUGAUAUAGAACACCGAUUGCGAAGGCAGCUCACUAAACUAUUACUGACGCUCAGGGACGAAAGCGUGGGGAGCGAACAGGAGUAGAAACCCUAGUAGUCC